UUGAUCCUGGCUCAGAAUCAACGCUGGCGGCGUGCCUAACACAUGCAAGUCGAACGCGAAAGUGGAGCAAUCCAUGAGUAGAGUGGCAAACGGGUGAGUUACACGUGGGUGACCUGCCUUCGAGUGGGGGAUAACGUCCCGAAAGGGACUCUAAUACCGCAUAAUAUGCUGUCUUUUAAGAGAGAGACAUCAAAGCUGGUGACCGCAAGGCCUGGCGCUUGAAGAGGGGCCCGCGCCUGAUUAGCUAGUUGGUGGGGUAAUGGCUCACCAAGGCAACGAUCAGUAUCCGGCCUGAGAGGUCGGACGGACACACUGGGACUGAGACACGGCCCAGACUCCUACGGGAGGCUGCAGUGGGGAAUUGUUCGCAAUGGGCGCAAGCCUGACGACGCAACGCCGUGUGGAGGAUGAAGACCUUCGGGUCGUAAACUCCUUUCGAUCGAGACGAAUGGCCCUUGGGUUAAUAGCCCGAGGGAGUGACGGUACCGAGAGAAGAAGCUCCGGCUAACUCCGUGCCAGCAGCCGCGGUAAUAAGGU
rnacentral:rRNA from 1 species